rfam:Salmo salar isolate Sally breed double haploid chromosome ssa16, whole genome shotgun sequence.
UCCCGUGUGGCUCAGUUGGUAGAGCAUGGAGCUUGUAAAGUCAGGGUUAUGGGUUCGAUUCCCACGGGAG